CAGUCGCCGCGGGAAUACGAAGGGGGCUAGCGUUGUUCGGAAUUACUGGGCGUAAAGCGCACGUAGGCGGAUAUUUAAGUCAGGGGUGAAAUCCCAGAGCUCAACUCUGGAACUGCCUUUGAUACUGGGUAUCUUGAGUAUGGAGGAGGUGAGUGGAAUUCCGAGUGUAGAGGUGAAAUUCGUAGAUAUUCGGAGGAACACCAGUGGCGAAGGCGGCUCACUGGACCAUUACUGACGCUGAGGUGCGAAAGCGUGGGGAGCAAACAGGAUUAGAUACCCGAGUAGUCCCUGUCUCUUAUAA
rnacentral:rRNA from 1 species